rnacentral:rRNA from 1 species
AGUGAACGCUGGCGGUAGGCCUAACACGUGCAAGUCGAACGGCAGCACAGGAGAGCUUGCUCUCUGGGUGGCGAGUGGCGGACGGGUGAGGAAUACAUCGGAAUCUACUUUUUCGUGGGGGAUAACGUAGGGAAACUUACGCUAAUACCGCAUACGACCUACGGGUGAAAGCAGGGGAUCUUCGGACCUUGCGCGAUUGAAUGAGCCGAUGUCGGAUUAGCUAGUUGGCGGGGUAAAGGCCCACCAAGGCGACGAUCCGUAGCUUGUCUGAGAGGAUGAUCUGCCACACUGGAACUGAGACACGGUCCAGACUCCUACGGGAGGCAGCAGUGGGGAAUAUUGGACGAUGGGCGCAAGCCUGAUCCAGCCUUACCGCGUGGGUGAAGAAGGCCUUCGGGUUGUAAAGCCCUUUUGUUGGGAAAGAAAUCCAGCUGGUUAAUACCCGGUUGGGAUGACGGUACCCAAAGAAUAAGCACCGGCUAACUUCGUGCCAGCAGCCGCGGUAA